rnacentral:rRNA from 1 species
UACGGAGGGAGCUAGCGUUGUUCGGAAUUACUGGGCGUAAAGCGCACGUAGGCGGCUUUGUAAGUUAGAGGUGAAAGCCCGGAGCUCAACUCCGGAACUGCCUUUAAGACGGCAUCGCUUGAAUCCAGGAGAGGUGAGUGGAAUUCCGAGUGUAGAGGUGAAAUUCGUAGAUAUUCGGAAGAACACCAGUGGCGAAGGCGGCUCACUGGACUGGUAUUGACGCUGAGGUGCGAAAGCGUGGGGAGCGAACAGG